AUUGAACGCUGGCGGCAUGCCUUACACAUGCAAGUCGAACGGCAGCAUGGGUGCUUGCACCUGAUGGCGAGUGGCGAACGGGUGAGUAAUGCAUCGGAACGUACCCGGAAGUGGGGGAUAACGUAGCGAAAGUUACGCUAAUACCGCAUAUUCUGUGAGCAGGAAAGUGGGGGAUCGCAAGAACUCGCGCUUCCGGAGCGGCCGAUGUCGGAUGAGCUAGGUGGCGGGGUAAAGGCCCACCAAGGCAACGAUCCGUAGCGGGUCUGAGAGGAUGAUCCGCCACACUGGGACUGAGACACGGCCCAGACUCCUACGGGAGGCAGCAGUGGGGAAUUUUGGACAAGGGGGGCAACCCUGAUCCAGCCAUGCCGCGUGAGUGAAGAAGGCCUUCGGGUUGUAAAGCUCUUUCGGCCGGGAAGAAAUCGCACAGGUUAAUACCUUGUGUGGAUGACGGUACCGGAAUAAGAAGCACCGGCUAACUACGUGCCAGCCGCCGCGGUAAUAC
rnacentral:rRNA from 1 species